AUUGAACGCUGGCGGAAUGCUUUACACAUGCAAGUCGAACGGCAGCACGGACUUCGGUCUGGUGGCGAGUGGCGAACGGGUGAGUAAUGUAUCGGAACGUGCCCAGUCGUGGGGGAUAACGUAGUGAAAAUUACGCUAAUACCGCAUACGAUCUAUGGAUGAAAGCGGGGGAUCGCAAGACCUCGCGCGAUUGGAGCGGCCGAUAUCAGAUUAGGUAGUUGGUGGGGUAAAGGCCCACCAAGCCAACGAUCUGUAGCUGGUCUGAGAGGACGAACAGCCUCACUGGAACUGAGACACGGUCCAGACUCCUACGGGAGGCAGCAGUGGGGAAUUUUGGACAAGGGGCGAAAGCCUGAUCCAGCCAUUCCGCGUGCAGGAUGAAGGCCCUCGGGUUGUAAACUGCUUUUGUACAGAACGAAAAGGUUUCUACUAAUACUAGGAGCUCAUGACGGUACUGUAAGAAUAAGCACCGGCUAACUACGUGCCAGCCGCCGCCGUAA
rnacentral:rRNA from 1 species